GCCUUCUGUCUAGGUGGUGUUGGAUAGGGGCGGUUUCGGCGUUGCUCGCAAUCUUCGUGUCCGUGGCUUCGGGCUGACCACUUACAUCGGUGGCUGGAACGUUGCUCGAAGUAGUGGGCCUUUCUUCUGGUCCUCCUGUUUUUGGUGCCGAAACCCGGGAAUUAACGGCCGGAUCAUGCCUACUACGAGUCAGGAAGGUGCCGACCGCCUGAAGCGAAAGAAGACUACUCUGCGAGCCGCCGCAAGAAAGACCAUCAACGAAAUUGGCGUCCUGCUGGCCACGGAUCUAACCGACAUCGGGCAGUGGCUCCGGACAAGCUCCAGUUGAUCACGGCCAACUCCCUACAACAGUGAAGCUUCCAAAUCUUGACUUUUUUUUUGCUUUUUUGAGUAAAGUAAUUACGACAGC